rnacentral:rRNA from 1 species
CUACGGGCGGCUCCAGUGAGGAAUAUUGCACAAUGGAGGAAACUCUGAUGCAGCAACGCCGCGUGGAGGAUGACGCAUUUCGGUGUGUAAACUCCUUUUAUAUGUCAAGAAAAUGACGGUAGCAUAUGAAUAAGCACCGGCUAACUCCGUGCCAGCAGCCGCGGUAAUACGGAGGGUGCAAGUGUUACUCGGAAUCACUGGGCGUAAAGGACGCGUAGGCGGGAUAUCAAGUCAGGUGUGAAAUCCUACAGCUUAACUGUAGAACUGCACUUGAAACUGGUAACCUAGAGUAUGGGAGGGGGAGAUGGAAUUAGUGGUGUAGGGGUAAGAUCCGUAGAUAUCACUAGGAAUACCUAAAGCGAAGGCGAUCUCCUGGAACAUAACUGACGCUAAGGCGUGAAAGCGUGGGGAGCAAACAGGAUUAGAUACCCCCGUAGUC